AGAGGAUGGCAUCACGGGGUCGGGGGACUGAUUCAAAAUGUAACAAGAAAAAAGAAUCAUCACAAAGAACAUAUGGAUAACACAAUGGCAUCGGCCCUGAGAGCGAAAACUGGAUUAAAUUUACUUUUCGAGCCUUGACUUUUCGGGUCAAUUCGGAUUUAUCACAGAAAAAGCCUUGGCAUAAGCAGCAGGAUCAGAUGACACAGGUGAACUCCUCACUGGCCGCAGCAUUGCACAACACCAGCCAGUGCUGUGUUUAUCAUCGUGGACUGUCGGGGGAGUCGUCCCAUCCUGCACUGGCUUGGAACAGUCCUGAGAAAGAAAAGGCUUUGUGCUCUGAAGAAUAUUACGAAUCAUAAUUUGGGCCAAAUCCUCAAAGACAAAAAAAAAAGUAAAAUAAUAAAAUAAAAUAACUACAGCAGGGUGUCUCUCUCUCUCACCGAUUCCCUCUGUGACCAAGUGUCCAAGAAAAGUGUUUCAUGGUCAGAGGAGGUGUAGAGGGAUCAGGGCGUACGAUGGACAGUGAAGGUUUUGGGCACAGAAGCACUGAGAGUGUGAAUCAGAUAUCUGAGUAUGACAGAGGGGUAAAAAUGAGGAAUAACAAGAGAAGUUAACAGUGAGAGAGUAGACAGAUCAGCUGAUGACUGGUGUCCAAAUGUUCAGCCAAACCUUCAGAAAUUUCUGCUGUAAUUUCAAAUACUUGAUGGUGUUGGUAAAAAAAAAAUGUGUAGGUUCAGAAAUCAGGAAAAAUGCAAAAGAAGGCUGCACAGAAGCUGAAUUACAAAUUAAUCGCACUCCAUCUACACAUGCAGAUUCAAAUAUUUGUUGAACCACUUGCAUGAACAUACAUUUGUUUACUACAGUCCAGAACAUUGUAUUCUCUCCUCUUGAGCCACGCCCCGGAAGCGCUCAGCCAGCAUGCAGCACAUCGCCCUCCCUCCACUCUCUCUCUCCCAGUUCUCUUUUUUUUUUUUACAGGAAGCAGCUGCGUGGAAACCUCUCCACAUCAGACUUGUCUCACUCAUCUUAUCUAUUUUUUCUCAGGUUCACCCGUGCCCACAGCAGCACUGUUUCUCCAGUCACGGACCGCGAGAGAGCUCUUAGCCAGACUAAAAGCAACAAAACAGUCCAUUUUUAAGCAUUGCGGCGCAGAAAGCGGCCUUAAAAACAAACGCAAGGCGGUCGGUUUGCUUCUGCUGAUCCCCAAACAUUUUGUCAAACUGAGCUCAGAUAUACAUCGUUAACCGAGAGUUGCAUGAAUGUCCCCACUCACUGCAAAAAGCCACGUUAAAGAUAAACCCUGUUGCUACUGACAACAGCACAGAUCAAGACGACACUGAUGUCACUGUGGAUGCAAUAAAUAUCGUCUCUACAUGGCCCUAAAAAGACACAUUUUUUUCGAUUUGGAAAGUCCCCAGAGCUAAAAACAGCAAGAAACAGCAUUUUUCUUAGCAACUAUUUUAAGCAGCCAUCUCUUAUUAUUUUUCUCUGUUGUCAUUCUUAAUUCGAAAUCCUCUAAGAAUCUUUUCAUAUUUGAUCAGGUUUCACUUUAUCAUUCGCAGAUGCCUUUUGCUGUAGAUGCGGUACGUGUCUCAUUUAAAUGGGUUUAGGUAUGACACUGAAACACUGAGCAGAGAUUAGCCGAAUUUCUGUGCCUGAUACUCAUGACCCAAAUCAUUCAAGAUCAAGUACACACACUUUUAACCAGGACUGUGAUGCCAACACCUUGCCAAUUUUUUUUUACCCCUAAACUGAUCAGAAAGAGCCCAUUUUCUUAAGUCCCACAAAAUUACAUUAAGGGAAUUGUUGGGAGUAGAAAUGUUAAUCUCUGUGUGUGCUGAUUGUAUGUUAAACAUGUAUGAUGUUACAGUAAGCAAGAAAGAGGGCAGAAUUUAUAUAUGCAGUAUAUACACACACACAUUUAAGGUAAAUAAUAGCUUGGCCUGGUGUACUAAUCAAGCACUAACGUCACAAAUUCAGCUGUGGGAAUAGCUGCAUCUCAGCAACCAUGUCCAGAGUCUGGAUCCUGGAUCCUGCAACACGAUGCCCAGCCUGCUCUAAUGUACUGCCAGAGGGAUGGUGCUGAUUCAGGCUCUCUCUCCAUUAAGGCUGUGCGAUCAGUGAGCAGCCGGCGAAUCAGCUCUGACCUGAACAACAUAAAAAGGUCCAAAACACCAUGAGUGAGGAGAUCGGGCAGCAACUCAGACACGCCAAGACGAUACUGCCCUCGAAGUGAACCUAAUCAAUGUCAUGUUGUUCAUUAGAAAAAAGGAGAAAAACUGUGUAGUAAGCAUUACUGAUGGAAAGCUGUUUGAGAUUUAUUUCUGUCUUGUCUAGUUUGUCAUUAAAAUGCUUAAAUGAUUAAAUCUGUCUUAGCACAGCCAGGACAAACUGAAAACAAAACUGUUUUUGUGUCCCUGCUAAUCCUUCUCUGUGUCAUAGGUCCACUGUGAGAACUUUUCUUUCUUUUCGUUGCAUGCAUGCUCUGUGUGAUGCUGUGUGUUUUGCCUCACUGUACGUGUCACUAAAAUGCAGGCAGGACCUUGGACAUAAAGGUACUGGAAUAAAAAUGCUUGACUGUG